rnacentral:rRNA from 1 species
CACAAAAUGACUCUCGGCAACGGAUAUCUCGGCUCUUGCAUCGAUAAAGAACGUAGCGAAAUGCGAUACUUGGUGUGAAUUGCAGAAUCCCGUGAACCAUCGAGUCUUUGAACGCAAGUUGCGCCCGAAGCCAUUAGGUCGAGGGCACGCCUGCCUGGGUGUCACA